CGGUCAAUGGGCGCAAGCCUGACCGAGCAACGCCGCGUGCGGGAUGACGGCCUUCGGGUGUAAACCGCUUUCGGGAGGACGAUCGUGACGGUACUCCCGGAAUCAGGCUCGGCUAACUCUGUGCCAGCAGCCGCGGUAAGACAGAGGAGCCAAGCGUUGUCCGGAUUGACUGGGCGUAAAGCGUACGCAGGCGGCUGGGCGCGUGGGGUGUGAAAGCCGGCGGCUUAACUGCCGGAGGCCACCUCAUACGGCCUGGCUCGAGCCCGGGAGAGGUCCGUGGAAUUGCCGGUGUAGUGGUGAAAUGCGUAGAGAUCGGCAGGGACACCAAGGGGGAAACCAGCGGACUGGCCCGGGGCUGACGCUCAGGUACGAAAGCGUGGGGAGCGAACUGGAUUAGAUACCCAGGUAGUCCACGCCGUAAACGAUGGACACUCGGCCUGUGGGCGGACUAUGUGCCGCCUGGGGGCCCCAGCUAACGCGAUAAGUGUCCCGCCUGGGAACUACGAGCGCAAGCUUA
rnacentral:rRNA from 1 species